ACCUGCCCGGGUCCGCUGUGGUGUGAAAUCCCUGCUGCCGAUGGAGGUCGACUGAUAUUGCGACGCAGCGCUCCCCGCUCCGCCUCGCGUUGUGCGAAACGCUGGCCAAUCGCCACCGCCAGCGCCACAAGAUCUCUCAGUCUAUCCGGAAGUACGUGCCCCGCCAACUCAUCUUUGAUCUCGUCCGCGAGACCGUCAUAAAAACGAUCACACAAGGUCUCUUGUCUCCAAUCCAACCCGGCCGCCAGCGUGCGGAACUGUACCACAUAAUCCAUUAAGGAGGAACGUCCUUGAAACAGGUGGAACAGUUUGGCUGCCGCCACUCGGCGAUGCGCAACAGGGUUAAACAGGGAAGUGAGUUCCUCCGCGAAUCCCUCGAAAGUGGCGGCACAGGCUGCGUUGAUCUCGUAUUCCGCCGCACCCCACUCUAGCGCUUUUCCUCCUAGCAGCGAGAUGCAGUACGCCACCUUCUCCCCUUCAGAUCGGAACAGCCCCGCUUCCACUCUAAAUUUUAGCCGUAACGCGGUCAGGAAACUCUGGCAACGAGAGGCACCCCCGUAAAACCUGUCGGGAGGGGCUAGUCUAACCUGGGAAGACGGGAUCGCCUCUAAAGACGCUGGUUCACUGCCGAUCUCCCGCAGAGUACGCAAGGCCUCAGCUCGGGCUGUAGUGCGUGGGCUGUCGAGUAAAAAACUAGCACUGCGAAGGCCCGGAGCCUGCCAGACCUCCUCUCCUGCUGCUGGGUCCAUGUUUGGUCAGUGUGUACUGUUACAAACACCCAAGACCAGACAAAACGGAACCCACAAGCAGUAACAGGCGAGGAUGGAAGAAUACAAAACAAUUUUUAAUAUUACUACACAAAACAAAGGAUCACUACAGAGUAGGAAAAAGGUUCAUCAACUAAACUGGGGAGCACUGCGAAGCAGGACCAAACAAACUAGACAAAGGAAUAAUACUAAACAGAAGUAAUUUCCAAACAAAAUCAGGACACAAUAGUUCGCUGCGCUGAGUAGGCAAAAUAUAACAAAGAGUAACAAGGCUUUCACACACUACAGAGUCAGGCUCUACAUCGCUCUACAAACAUCGCCAAAUUAAGGAGUAACAGGGCUGUUCACAAUCCAACUAAACAAAAAAACCAACCGUCGUACAUGAAGCCAGAUGCAAACAGAGAGUCCACCAUGACACACUGACAACUGGAGGAGUCUCCAUCCUCCACUUAAAUAGUCCCCCAGUUAAUGAUGUUCCCGGAAGGAAACAGCUACUCAAUGCCGCCCUCUGAGGUUGGGAGGAGACUCACAACACAUUCAGGCAAAACCACAAAUGACACGUUGCCGACUAGACGCUGAACCUAUUGCCUGCUGCUAAAAGACAAAAGUAAAUAACACAAUUUUUGAGAAGCUAAAUGUUUGGUGAUUGGAGCAGAGUAGGGGCUUCGCUUCGCCCUCACUUCGGCAAAUCGGGAGGAUGUGGCAGGGAAGGAGAGCAGGUCGCUGCUUCUCCUGAAUGCAUCAAGACAAAAGAUGAAGACCACUUAUCGCUGUCACUUAAGGUCAGUGAUUUGUCCCCCGCUGUCAUUGUCCAACCUUGUACCUGUUAAGCCAGUGUCUUUUUAAAGUUGGAUGAAUAUGAGCAAAACCUUUAAUGUUUAGUCGCAAUUGGUCACUAUCCAAAGCUGAAAAAAUUAGUGUACUCAGUUUCAGUAAAAAUCCAUUUAUGUACACAUAAAAGUAAUCAUAUAUGCACAUAACACCUUCUUUCCUAGACACAAUUCUACAGUGAUUUUUUAUGGCACUGACUUUUCUUCCCAAGACAGAAUAAAACACCAACACGAUUAGGACCAUCCAUCACUCCUUAUGCCUGCUGACAGUUCCUCGCGCUCUGGAUCAAGGUCAUUAUAGUAUGAAUGGGUGUCCUUCCUUUCACGCCUUUGGUUUAUCUCCGUAUUAUAGAAUGACAUAGUUCAUAUCCUAAUAUGCACAGACACAUGCCCAUCCCAAUGAUCUGCAGCAUUUAUAACAUGUCAAGACCUUCUGUCUGCUCACAUCUCUGUCCGCUCACUCUUCAUUUUCAGUCGUUUGCUCAAUGUCUCUCUCAGUGUCCUGUCCCAUUUUCUUCCUCCUGCACCCUCUGCCACAGUCAUUGCAGAUUCUCCCGCUUGCUCUCUUCUGUCAGGUGUUACAGCUUUGACCUUGGCAGAAAUCAGUAUUCACCACUGGUAGAGACCUAUCAAAAUGUAAAUGAUAGCCCAGGUAAAGGCUGAGAAGUGGGAGUGGGCACAAUGUGUGCCCAAUGAGCCGUGCAUCCAGGGACCCGCCAAACUGAUCCAGCGAGCCGCUGCAAAUGCUCCUCGGGUCUGAUGAUGUCACCGUGAGCUUGUUAUGGGAAAAAUUGUCUCUUCCUUAUUUUUAUGUCUCUUCCUUAUUUCUAUGCAGUUAUUAUAUGAUUUAUGACUUAUGUUCUGCAAUUAAUACCUUAUGUUUUGUCUUACUGUAUGCACUUGACAUUUCACCUACAUUGUUCAAUGGUUGUCUCUGCCUGAUAGACUCUCAACUCUAGCUCCCAAACCCAAGGUCAGGGAGUUGUGUCUCUGUCUGUUGAGACUUGGUGCUCCUUUCUCACAGAUAGUUGGACGUCAGCAAUGCAGGUGUGAGAAUGUAAAUAUCUUCACACACACUGCGACAGGGAGGAGAUGGUGCAUGUAAUUUGAUUGGGUUAGAAAGCCAUUCCACCCUAGUCGGACAGAGAAAGGGGUUAAAAGGCAGAAGCAACUUGAGGAUCGUGGGCUCUUUGCAUCACACCUUCGUGGUGUGUGCACUGAUCUCCCCAGCUGGUUUUUGGUUUGUUGAUGUGCACGAUCAACAUCCAUGCUUUUUUUUGCUUUCCCCAUUAUUUUUAUUUUCUUUAUUAUUUCAAUAAAUCGCACAAAAGGACAACUCUCUCUCAUCUGCUUCUUUAUGGAAAAUUUCCACCACAGAAAUUGGCGUCUACGAACAGGAUCCGCUGCAGGUCGUCUGGACGGUGUGACCAGGGACAAUAGUCCUGAGGACUAGGGUCGCUCAGCCUCCAAACCUCUACAGCUGUUCUGAGUGGGAGGACUGCUCACCCGUCUGGAUCGCCUCUGACGAGAUCCAACGAACACAAAACCUCUACCCGGCCCGGUGAGAGAGAUUCCGUUUUGUUGCGACUUAUCGAAGAAAAAAAAAAAGAAAACGGGUUUGAAAUUGGUUUCAGGUAUUCGGGUUGACUUGGCUCUGAUCAUUUGGUUUAGGGAAAGUAAGGCAAAUAACAAUUAAUUCUAAAGCAUCCCCUACUAGACUAAAACAACGACAAAAGAAAAUAUAACUAGGACUAGAGACAAAAAUAUUUCUAAAACAACUAUUUGGCUGAAAACAUCCAAAAUAUAAUAUUAGGAAAAAAUUAUAAUUUUAAAAUUUAAUAUUCGGGUAAAAUUAAUUAGGUCAAAGUCUGCCCUGGUGGCCGAGACGGUGGUUGCUAAGGGUUGGCUCGUGGGACCGAGCUUGUUUUGUCUGUACUGAGGAUACAGACCAGUGUGCAGAUCUGAGCGCAGUCCAAAGGGUGUGGACAAGAAAUAAAAGACGGCUUCUGAAAUACGGAGCGCGUUUGCAGGGGGAAGUGUUUUUGAGAUACGAGGGACCCGGGUCUUAGAGGGGCCUGACGGUGAGGGAGCACUUCCGAGAACCCUGUCGCUGAUCUGAGCGGUUCCCUUUCUACGGAGACGUCCGUGGAAGAGAAAUUUCGAAAAAAGGUUCCGGC